rnacentral:rRNA from 1 species
GCAGGCGCGAAACCUUUACACUGCACGCAAGUGCGAUAAGGGGACUCCGAGUGCGAGGGCAUAUCGUCCUCGCUUUUCUGUACCGUAGGGUGGUACAGGAACAAGAGCUGGGCAAGACCGGUGCCAGCCGCCGCGGUAAUACCGGCAGCUCAAGUGAUGGCCGAUCUUAUUGGGCCUAAAGCGUCCGUAGCCGGCCUCGCAAGUCCGUCGGGAAAUCCACGCGCCCAACGCGUGGGCGUCCGGCAGAAACUCCGAGGCUUGGGACCGGAAGGCUCGAGGGGUACGUCCGGGGUAGGAGUGAAAUCCCGUAAUCCCGGACGGACCACCGAUGGCGAAAGCACCUCGAGAAGACGGAUCCGACGGUGAGGGACGAAAGCUCGGGUCUCGAACCGGAUUAGAUACCCGGGUAGUCCGAGCCGUAAACGAUGUUCGCUAGGUGUGGCACUGGCUACGAGCCAGUGCUGUGCCGUAGGGAAGCCGAGAAGCGAACCGCCUGGGAAGUACGUCCGCAAGGAUGAAACUUAAAGGAAUUGGCGGGGGAGCACUACAACCGGAGGAGCCUGCGGUUUAAUUGGAUUCAACGCCGG